UACGAAGGGGGCUAGCGUUGCUCGGAAUCACUGGGCGUAAAGCGCACGUAGGCGGCUUCUUAAGUCAGGGGUGAAAUCCUGGAGCUCAACUCCAGAACUGCCUUUGAUACUGAGGAGCUCGAGUCCGGGAGAGGUGAGUGGAACUGCGAGUGUAGAGGUGAAAUUCGUAGAUAUUCGCAAGAACACCAGUGGCGAAGGCGGCUCACUGGCCCGGUACUGACGCUGAGGUGCGAAAGCGUGGGGAGCAAACAGGG
rnacentral:rRNA from 1 species